rnacentral:rRNA from 1 species
AUGAACGCUAGCUACAGGCUUAACACAUGCAAGUCGAGGGGCAGCAUGGUCUUAGCUUGCUAAGGCCGAUGGCGACCGGCGCACGGGUGAGUAACACGUAUCCAACCUGCCGUCUACUCUUGGACAGCCUUCUGAAAGGAAGAUUAAUACAAGAUGGCAUCAUGAGUCCGCAUGUUCACAUGAUUAAAGGUAUUCCGGUAGACGAUGGGGAUGCGUUCCAUUAGAUAGUAGGCGGGGUAACGGCCCACCUAGUCUUCGAUGGAUAGGGGUUCUGAGAGGAAGGUCCCCCACAUUGGAACUGAGACACGGUCCAAACUCCUACGGGAGGCAGCAGUGAGGAAUAUUGGUCAAUGGGCGAGAGCCUGAACCAGCCAAGUAGCGUGAAGGAUGACUGCCCUAUGGGUUGUAAACUUCUUUUAUAAAGGAAUAAAGUCGGGUAUGGAUACCCGUUUGCAUGUACUUUAUGAAUAAGGAUCGGCUAACUCCGUGCCAGCAGCCGCGGUAAUACGGAGGAUCCGAGCGUUAUCCGGAUUUAUUGGGUUUAAAGGGAGCGUAGAUGGAUGUUUAAGUCAGUUGUGAAAGUUUGCGGCUCAACCGUAAAAUUGCAGUUGAUACUGGAUAUCUUGAGUGCAGUUGAGGCAGGCGGAAUUCGUGGUGUAGCGGUGAAAUGCUUAGAUAUCACGAAGAACUCCGAUUGCGAAGGCAGCCUGCUAAGCUGCAACUGACAUUGAGGCUCGAAAGUGUGGGUAUCAAACAGGAUUAGAUACCCUGGUAGUCCACACGGUAAACGAUGAAUACUCGCUGUUUGCGAUAUACUGCAAGCGGCCAAGCGAAAGCGUUAAGUAUUCCACCUGGGGAGUACGCCGGCAACGGUGAAACUCAAAGGAAUUGACGGGGGCCCGCACAAGCGGAGGAACAUGUGGUUUAAUUCGAUGAUACGCGAGGAACCUUACCCGGGCUUAAAUUGCAGAUGAAUUACGGUGAAAGCCGUAAGCCGCAAGGCAUCUGUGAAGGUGCUGCAUGGUUGUCGUCAGCUCGUGCCGUGAGGUGUUGGGUUAAGUCCCGCAACGAGCGCAACCCCUAUUGUUAGUUGCUACGCAAGAGCACUCUAGCGAGACUGCCGUUGACAAAACGGAGGAAGGUGGGGACGACGUCAAAUCAUCAUGCCCCUUAUAUCCUGGGCUACACACGUAAUACAAUGGGGGGUACAGAGGGCCGCUACCACGCGAGUGGAUGCCAAUCCCAAAAACCUCUCUCAGUUCGGACUGGAGUCUGCAACCCGACUCCACGAAGCUGGAUUCGCUAGUAAUCGCGCAUCAGCCACGGCGCGGUGAAUACGUUCCCGGGCCUUGUACACACCGCCCGUCAAGCCAUGGGAGCCGGGGGUACCUGAAGUGCGUAACCGCGAGGAGCGCCCUAGGGUAAAACUGGUGACUGGGGCU